rnacentral:lncRNA from 1 species
CCUUUCCCGGAGUGCUGCGGCCAGGGCUCGCCCGCUCCUCCGGCGGCCUCCGCUGGGGGCCCACUACAGCCCAGCGCCAGCCAGCCAGCCAGCCCAGCUUCUCGAAUCGGUCCUAAGCUGAGGCCGCCCUGCGCUGCAAAACUUGUGUCCACUCUCGGACCCAAUCUGUCCUGGACGGACUUGGCUCGUGGCAGGCGAAAGCGUCGUUUCCAACUGCAGCUGUUUGAAUUCUGGCGCCACACCCGCGCCACGUAGGGCCAAGUCGGCCGCCAGACUCGUGCGAGAGGGCGGGACGGCCUCGUUCUGACUCCGGGAGGCUAUAUAAGGAGCUACUGGCUGCGCACUUCGGUCUUUUACGUCGGCCUUCGCGAGCGUCUGGGCGGGUGGUAGGUGAGUGGGUAUUGCGGGCUAGUAUCCGAGCAAAAGAUGGUGGCGCAGGCCGAGUUAAGAGCUUUAAUCCUGUGAAGACAUCUUAGUGAAGAGUUUAGAGUGCUGAGAGUUGAAAGCUUGCACGUGGGAAACGUGCGGCCGGACUGCCACAUGUACUGAGGUUGAGUCGUGACGGCCACAGGCUCCGAGUUUUGGCGUGAGGAACCGCUGAUCGGCCACGGGCGCCGAACUUGCUGGCCUCCGGCAUGUGCCUGAGCGGCGGCGGAAAAACCACCUUAAUUGGGGCGGAGGGUUAGUUUUAACAGCAAAGGGCCUUUACUAAAAUGGCGAAGGCCUUCCGUCGGCGUUGUUUUAAAAUGGGAAGCCUCGACCCUGUAUUGAAACUGAGCUGUUCGAAGGCGGCGUUGUGUGCAAUUCGGAUUAAUGAAGGGGAAGGGUUUUGUGUGGAAAAACGCCUUGGAGUGUGACAUUUCUGCGAGAAUGCUUAAAUACCGAUUUCCCGCAGGAACAAUGGCGCUGUCUUCAGUGGCACAGUGGAGCAGCUCUGAAGAUGCAAAGAUACACGAAAAAACUUCCAGAACAUCUGGGAGAAUAUUUAAUGGAAAAUCGCUUGGUUAAAACCUGACACUUUUAACAGUGAACAGCGUUCUGAGUGUGGACGAGUAGCCAGUGAAGAUAAUGAAUGUCGAAUGUGACUGACUAGCAGCUUCAUUUUGAAUGAGGGUCGCUGUCUGCCCAUUGAUAGAGGCCAGAUUGUCUUGGAAGUUCCAAAGUUGCAACGAUUUCUGGCUAGUGCCACGAGGUUUACUUGACUGUUGUGUGAAAAGCUGAUAAGAAAACCAUCCAGAAAAAAGCUCUUCGUUUUACAAACAUGAAAAUAAAACAUUUAGUUGAAUCCAUGGACAUGAAACCCACAGAUAUAGAGGGUUGGCCCGGUGCAGUGGCUCACGCCUGUAAUCCCAGCACUUUGGGAGGCCAAGGCGGGUGGAUCACCUGAGGUCAGAAGCUUGAGACCAGCCUGGCCAACAUGGGUACUGCUUUCUCUUGCUGCAGCUUGCUUCCUCCCUCAGGUAACAUGAAGGAGGAUAUUGAAUGUUCCUAACACAAAGAAAUGAUAAAUGUUUGAGAUGGUGGAUGUACUAAUUGCCCUGAUCUGAUGACUAUACAUUAUAUAUAUUGAAACAUCAGUAUGUACCCCAUGAAUAUGUACAAUUAUAUGUCAACUUAAACACAUUUAAAAGUAAAAAAAAAAAAAUCCAAAACACGCAAGGAACUGAGCCAGCACGAAUAAGAAUUAGCAAAAUCUUCAAACCUCAAGACCAGACUCACAAGGACUUCAGAUACAGAAAUUUUAAAUAAAAAUUAUAAAAUGAGUAUGUUAAAAUGUUUAAAGAAAUAAAGGAAGGCAUUGGUAUAUGAUACAGAAAUAAAAGACCAUCAAAAAUAAUUUGGAUGACAUGAAAACAAUCAAAUAGACAUUCUGGAAAUAAAACAUAUAUAAUGGACAGGAGUGAAUGUCCCUAGGCUCCUGACCUCUCUGCAUUUGCAAGUAGUCUGAGCCAGAAAACGCUGAAAGACCUCAGAAGCCAAGUGGAAGCCCCACAGUGAAGCCAGGAGGGCCUUCAUUUCAGACUCAGCAGCUGCCCACGGUGGUGGCUGACACACUGCUGUAGCAUGUGUGCUGCCUGAACACUCACUGGCCACCCCCACAGCCCAGAGCACUGGCAUCAUCUGUACUAUCGGCCUAGUUUCCUGAUUGGUGGAAAUGUUGAUGAUUAAGUCUGGAAUUAAUAUGGCUUGUCUGAACUUACGAGUACCACGCAGAGACCAUCAGGAAUGUGUGCACAACUAUGGAAAGCCUUGCUUCUGACCCCAAUCUCUAGCGGCUAGUUGCUGUGGCUCUGGACACUAACGGGCCUGAGAUCUGAACUGGGCUCACACAGAGCAGUGUCCCCAUGGAGGUGGAGCUGAAGAAGGGAGCCACCUUCAGAUCACACUGGAUAAUGCCUACAUGGAAAACUUAUGAUGAGAACUUCCUGUAGCUGGACUACAAGAACAUUUGUAAGGUAGUGGAAAGGGGCAGCAAGAUCUAUAGAUUUAAUAACUUAUUUCUCUGCAGUUGGAGCAGAAAGGUACUGACCUCCUGGUGAUAGCAAUGGAAAAUUAUGGCUCCUUGGGCAGCAAAAAGGGUGUAGACCUUCCUGGUGACUGUGGACCUGCUUGCCAUGUCAGAAAAGGACAUCCAGGAUCUGAAGUUUGGGGUAGAAUGGGAUGUGGAUAUGGUGUUUGCCUCUUUCAUCCAUGUGGCAUCUAAUGUCCAUGAAAUUAGAAAGGCAAUUAUUGCAAACUGGAGCAAGGUGCCCACUUGCCCACCAGAGUUAGGCUCUUACCUUCCCAGAGGAACUGAGACCCACAGCUAUUUUUAUAUAUCUUACAGUUCAGAUCAGAUACAAAUAUGUAAACCUCUACAUUAUUUCUAUGUAGAAAUUAUGAUACUCUUUAAGCCUGUCACAGAUUUUGUUAUUUAAUGCAAAGAAGCACAUAUAUUACUAUGGGACACUUUUGGUUUGUUUAAAUAUUUUGAUAGUUGUAUUUUAAUGUAAAGGGUUUCAUUUGUAAUCUUAUACAGAUGGUCCCCAACUUACAAUGGUUCAACUUAUGAUUUUUCAUCUUUACAACGGCAUGAAAGCAAUACAUUUUCAGUAGAAACUGUAGGUCAAAUACUCAUACAACCAUUCUGUUUUUCACUUUACUGCAGUAUUUAAUAAACAUAUGAGAUAUUCAAGAUUUUAACUUUGCGUUAGAUGAUUCUGUCUAAUUAUAAGAUAAAGUAAGUGUUCUGAGCACAUUUAAGGUAGACUAAGAAAACUAUGAUGUUCAGUAGGUUAGUUAUAUUAAAUGCAUUUUCAACUUACAGUAUUUUCAAUGGGGUUUAUUGGAACGUAACCUCAUUGUAAAUUGAAGAGCAUCUUUUAUGCAUUUUUAAAUAUGUUUUGAGAAGGGGUCAAUAGGCUUCACCAGACUGGCAAAGUGUCUAUGGCAUGAAAAGUUAAGGACCUCUGCAUUUCAUAUCAAAUCCUACUUGUUUUUAACUUCCC